CUGUGGUGCAAUCAGCCUGCUUCUUCAGUUUUCCAGUUGGCCGUCAUAUCCAUUGGUUAGUAGCUUGACUAAUACAACAACCUCUUCUACAGAAGCUUGGAUAGAAAUAUGAUUUUACAAGUGGAAAACAGUUUUAAAUAGGUGCCAUCUAGAGACUUUCAAAGCAAUUUUCCCCUUUCUUCUGAUUGUGACUUGGAAGACUACUGCAGUAAGCAUUAGAGGAAAUACAGGGGAGUCUGAUCUGUAGAGGAACUAAGGACUGAAGCUUACUACAGGGCCUUCAUCUUUUGGAAUGACUCCAGAAUGGUACUUCCGCAGUCUUUUGAGUUGCUGUACCCAGGGAACAAUGUUUUCUACCUUUGAGAUUUACAUUAAAUAUAAAUUCCCCUGAAACUCACCCGUAAGACUGUGUUGAAACAAAAGCAAACCAUGCUAUCUGUGAUUUUAACUCUUGGGCAUGCCUUUAUAUGUCUAUUUAAGAGGAGAAUGCAAAGGAGAUUGGUUUGAAUCAAACACAAAAUUCAAAUGUAAGGAGAAUGGAAAUGACAUUCUGUGAAAAGAAAACAUUUAACAGUAGCAUUUAACUCUACAAUAAGCAAAUAGACUAAAUUACAAUAGCAUGCUACUGAUUUUUCUUGCUGCUAUUGACACUCUUCCAUUCCCCAGUCUCAGCUCAUGUUUCUCAUAGUGGUUCCUCUCUGACUUUUUGUACUGCUAAUGAAUGGAGAUAGGAAACAGGUAUUGAAACACAUUCACAUUUCAGAAGCAGAAUGUAUCAGAAAGGAACAUAUCAGGUAUGUCUAGAGACAGGAGAGGAAUGUGCUCAACAGAUGUACGUUACAGCAACUUGAACAACAGAAUGGGGUCUGGAUUUUUUUGAUGCAAUUUUAAAACAACAUCAAGAGAAUUCAUUUGAAGGAGUCUUACAUCUGACAUAAAAAAUUUCCUUUGUUUGUCAAUAGUAGCUAUUGUUGCCAUUGAAACAUAACAGGGCAAGACCUAGACCUGUAUCCACACUA